GAUGAACGCUGGCGGCGUGCCUAAUACAUGCAAGUCGAGCGAACGGACGAGAAGCUUGCUUCUCUGAUGUUAGCGGCGGACGGGUGAGUAACACGUGGAUAACCUACCUAUAAGACUGGGAUAACUUCGGGAAACCGGAGCUAAUACCGGAUAAUAUUUUGAACCGCAUGGUUCAAAAGUGAAAGACGGUCUUGCUGUCACUUAUAGAUGGAUCCGCGCUGCAUUAGCUAGUUGGUAAGGUAACGGCUUACCAAGGCAACGAUGCAUAGCCGACCUGAGAGGGUGACCGGCCACACUGGAACUGAGACACGGUCCAGACUCCUACGGGAGGCAGCAGUAGGGAAUCUUCCGCAAUGGGCGAAAGCCUGACGGAGCAACGCCGCGUGAGUGAUGAAGGUCUUCGGAUCGUAAAACUCUGUUAUUAGGGAAGAACAUAUGUGUAAGUAACUGUGCACAUCUUGACGGUACCUAAUCAGAAAGCCACGGCUAACUACGUGCCAGCAGCCGCGGUAAUACGUAGGUGGCAAGCGUUAUCCGGAAUUAUUGGGCGUAAAGCGCGCGUAGGCGGUUUUUUAAGUCUGAUGUGAAAGCCCACGGCUCAACCGUGGAGGGUCAUUGGAAACUGGAAAACUUGAGUGCAGAAGAGGAAAGUGGAAUUCCAUGUGUAGCGGUGAAAUGCGCAGAGAUAUGGAGGAACACCAGUGGCGAAGGCGACUUUCUGGUCUGUAACUGACGCUGAUGUGCGAAAGCGUGGGGAUCAAACAGGAUUAGAUACCCUGGUAGUCCACGCCGUAAACGAUGAGUGCUAAGUGUUAGGGGGUUUCCGCCCCUUAGUGCUGCAGCUAACGCAUUAAGCACUCCGCCUGGGGAGUACGACCGCAAGGUUGAAACUCAAAGGAAUUGACGGGGACCCGCACAAGCGGUGGAGCAUGUGGUUUAAUUCGAAGCAACGCGAAGAACCUUACCAAAUCUUGACAUCCUUUGACAACUCUAGAGAUAGAGCCUUCCCCUUCGGGGGACAAAGUGACAGGUGGUGCAUAGUUGUCGCCAGCUCGUGUCGUGAGAUGUUGGGUUAAGUCCCGCAACGAGCGCAACCCUUAAGCUUAGUUGCCAUCAUUAAGUUGGGCACUCUAAGUUGACUGCCGGUGACAAACCGGAGGAAGGUGGGGAUGACGUCAAAUCAUCAUGCCCCUUAUGAUUUGGGCUACACACGUGCUACAAUGGACAAUACAAAGGGCAGCGAAACCGCGAGGUCAAGCAAAUCCCAUAAAGUUGUUCUCAGUUCGGAUUGUAGUCUGCAACUCGACUACAUGAAGCUGGAAUCGCUAGUAAUCGUAGAUCAGCAUGCUACGGUGAAUACGUUCCCGGGUCU
rnacentral:rRNA from 1 species